rnacentral:rRNA from 1 species
GAUGAACGCUGGCGGCGUGCCUAAUACAUGCAAGUCGAGCGAACGGACGAGAAGCUUGCUUCUCUGAUGUUAGCGGAGGACGGGUGAGUAACACGUGGAUAACCUACCUAUAAGACUGGGAUAACUUCGGGAAACCGUAGCUAAUACCGGAUAAUAUUUUGAACCGCAUGGUUCAAAAGUGAAAGACGGUCUUGCUGUCACUUAUAGAUGGAUCCGCGCUGCAUUAGCUAGUUGGUAAGGUAACGGCUUACCAAGGCAACGAUGCAUAGCCGACCUGAGAGGGUGAUCGGCCGCACUGGAGCUGGGACACGGUCCAGACUCCUACGGGAGGCAGCAGUAGGGAAUCUGCCGCAAUGGGCGAAAGCCUGACGGAGCAACGCCGCGUGAGUGAUGAAGGUCUUCGGAUCGUAAAACUCUGUUAUUAGGGAAGAACAUAUGUGGAAGUAACUGUGCACAUCUUGACGGUACCUAGUCAGAAAGCCACGGCUAACUACGUG